UAGGUGAACCUGCGGAGGG
rnacentral:rRNA from 1 species